AUGCCUGGAUGGGCGUUCAUCGCCUUUCCUCCUUGGGGGCUGCGGGCGGCCGAGACGUUGGACGAGUCCGGAGGGGGCCGUGUGAGUCCUGGGGGGUCCCUGACCCUGGUCUGCAAGGGCUCCGGAUACACCUUCAGCAGCUUCGGCAUGGCAUGGAUCCGACAGGCGCCCGGGAAGGCGCUCGAGUUGGUGGCGAGUGUUAACAGCGAGGGUGGUAGCACAUGGUACUUGCCGGCGGUGCAGGGACGCUUCACCAUCUCCAGGAGCUACUGGUACAGCACGCUCACCCUGCAGAUGAACAGCCUCAAGGCCGAAGACACCGCCACCUACUACUGUGCAAAAUGUGCUUAUACUGGUGGUAUUUAUGGUCAUGCUGAUCAGAUUGGUGGUGCUGCUGGUGCUGCUGGCAUUGUUCAUGGCCCAGGGAAAGGCCCCGACACAACUCACCCCGGCCACCAGCAGGUUCUCCACCCGCAGCUCUUCUCACGCAGCGCUGGGCUCUGGGGUCGUCGCUCCUGA